rnacentral:rRNA from 1 species
GACGAACGCUGGCGGCGUGCUUAACACAUGCAAGUCGAACGGAUUGCUUGGUGCUUGCACUGAGUGGUUAGUGGCGAACGGGUGAGUAACACGUGAGUAACCUGCCCCCUUCUUUGGGAUAAGCACCUGAAAGGGUGUCUAAUACUGAUUAUUCUGCUGGAAUCGCAUGGUUUUGGUUGGAAAGGUUUUUUCUGGUGGGGGAUGGGCUCGCGGCUUAUCAGCUUGUUGGUGGGGUAAUGGCUUACCAAGGCUUUGACGGGUAACCGGCCUGAGAGGAUGCCCGGUUACAUUGGGACUGAGAUACGGCCCAGACUCCUACGGGAGGCAGCAGUGGGGAAUAUUGCACAAUGGACGAAAGUCUGAUGCAGCGACGCCGCGUGAGGGAUGAAGGCCUUCGGGUCGUAAACCUUUUUCGCUUUUGACCAAGGCAGCAUUUUGGUGUUGUUGAGGGUAUGAGGUAAAGAAGCUCCGGCUAACUACGUGCCAGCAGCCGCCGUAA